rnacentral:lncRNA from 1 species
GAUCUCCUGACCUCGUGACCUGCCCAGCUCGGCCUCCCAAAGUGCUGGGAUUACAGGCAUGAGCCAUUGCGCCUAACCUCAGAAACCAUUUUUAUAACCUCAAUACCUAAUAGAAACUGGCACAUGGACUGUGUGCGAAAUGUUCAAACUUGCUCACUGGGUUAAAAAGGAUGGACAGCUUAGAGAAAAAGAAGAAAAAAAGGAAACUCGGCUGUGCGCAGUGACUCAUGCCUAUAAUGCCAGCACUUUGGGAGGCCAAGGCAACUUUGCAAAUUAAAUGGUUCACAUAUGAAGGAGCACAGCUGUAGAAGGAAAAUAAGGAAGAGAAAAUAACUUCGGAAAAUUCCCAGGACUCAUACUCUAAAGCCCCUGUGAGCUGUGACUGCAAGAGUCAGCACCUAAAUUAGAUCAACACUACAACAUCAAAAAGCCAGCUUGAUGGCACAGCGGGGAGUGAGGAAGACUCGGUGGACAAAUCUGACUGGAAAACAAGUAGGCGUUGCAGAUGAAGACCUGGAACCAUGGUAGGAAGUGGGACAGGGAGCAUUUGGACAAGCUGUUCAAGAACUGAUCAUGCUCAUGUGUAUGGGAAAACAGAUGGAGGAAGAGAAAUUCCUGAAGAGCACAAGACUGGUGGGGCAAGGAACAAGCCUACUGAGAUGAGUUGCAGAUUUGAAGAUGGGAGAAAUGGUUUCGUUGUCUACCAUGUAAAAACUCAUUUAUGCAAGAUGCUUGAUAUCUGAAUUUCAAUUUCUUCAUUAUCAAAAUGAAUAUUAAAAAUACUCUACUUCUUAGAGUUGUCAAAAAGAUACGGAGAUGUGAAUAAUUUGAAAUUAUUAUCUAUAUGUAAAGUAUUACUAUAUUUACUAUCCUUAUCAAAUAUUUAUCCUACUGUCUAACACAUUAAAUGGACAAAAUAGAACAUUUGAAGGGUGUAGAUCUUGAAAGUUUAAUUUUACAUAAAAAAGGCCAGAAACCUUUCCUAAGAAAAAUGUACAUAUUGCAAAAUGUAGC